GCCGGCGCGGGGCCCUGCAGCCCGCGUGGACAGCCGCCGGUAAGGGUCUGCAGCAACAAGAGCUGCUGCUGAAUUUUUGGAGCAGACUCUGCCUCUUGCCACCAACAGAUGCCUCUGCUUCUUCGUUGAAUUCCUGGUGCCAUCUGCGCUGUGUGAUAGGACAAUUCAUAGGAUCAUGUACCUGCAGGUAUUUUGUACAAUGAUUAAACUGAAGUACUCCUUUCAUCCUCGUUAAUGUAAGCCAUAUUUUGGUCAAAAAAUCUCCCUUUUUUCGAUGAUACAACGAUGCCGGACAUAUAUUAAUACAGAGCAAAUAUUUUUUUUUUUGAUUUGUUUCUUUUAUAACUUAUAAUUAUAUGCUAUAAUUGCUACAAAAUAGUAAUAUCAUCAUAAAAGUUAUUUUAAAAGUGAGACAAAUACUACUUUUGUGAACAUGCAUAUAAUCUGAUUUUUUUAAUAGAAUGCCAUUAGAUGAAUUUUCAUAACAUAAAUACAGAAAAUUCAUGGUCCAAUCUAUGUAUAGAGCUUUGAUAAACCUUAUUGUCAUCCCAAGCACCCGCUUCAUUUGGAAAUUAAAGCUUCCUCUCAAUGUUGGUGGUAUCUAAAAAAGGACUCG
rnacentral:lncRNA from 1 species